GUCACAUCUGAGACGGCGUUGUACAUCAACAAGCGUCCAGGCUCCAGGGACAUGGCGGCGGCCUCUGUGAUGUCGGUGCUGCUGAUGGCGACUGAGAGGAACCGGUGGCAGCUAGUCCAGAGCCUGCUGCUGCUGCUGCCGCCCUGGCAACGAUCCGAAAGAUACUUCUAGCACUUGGAUACUACCUGGGAGCAACUUGUCAUGCUUGCAUUGUAUGGAACAAGUGUUCAAAAUAGAAUGCAAAAACUGUAAGCUGAUGGAAGAGGCAGCACAUGACAUCCCUGGUACUCCAGGGAGAAUAUUUGAUAUAGGAGAUACCUUUGUUGUGUCCCUUUCUGACUUAGUGCCAAUCAAUAUGCUGAAGUCCUCAAAAAGUUCCUGAGAGAUCCAUUUCAAAUUCUAGUGAAGAAAGAACUGAUCUUUGAAAGGCGCUGACAGAAAGAAAGGGGCAUUACCAAGAGGGAACUCCUUGAUAAGAAUUGGAAGCAGGAGUCAGUUCGGGAGGAAAGCUGUGGCCAUAAACAUUGAAGAAGACAAGAAGAUUCUUUGUGACACUGAGACUUUCUACCACACUACAGUAGAGGAAAUGGUAAAGACUGUGGCUGACCUGAUUUAAUUCCUGGAAUGAAAUGAUUAUGAAUGUAGUGCUUGCUAUUGCUGAACGGGCAGUCACAUUGUGCAUUGUGUUUCUUUUGGGGGUAAUAUGUGAAGCUUGUCUCAGUGCUCACAACAGAUUAAAAAUACAGAUUUUGAUAGCAAAGCAACUUCAGACAUGAUUUCAUGAUAUCAUUGGUUUUAUCCUCUUAUUUCCUAGUUCUCUACACAUGGUUUUAUUGAGUAUUUGCCAUCAUUUAAUAAUAUGGACUGAAAGAUAUAAAAGCAGCUAUUUAUAAAGUUUGUCUGCCUUUAUUGUAUUAGUCACUAACUGAA